CCAACGCAUCAGAUUGUUCCAGAAGCAUCAAGCUCCCUCUGACCCGCGACGCGACCCGACGACCCGAACGGAACUUCCCCUUCCGGUCAUAUCACGGCGGCGGACCACCGGCGUUUGCUUCGUCUCGACGACGCCGAUGCACCUAUGGCCAAGGAUCGUCCAUGCACAGACCGUGGAGGGAGGUUCGAAGCUUGGAAGCUUAAAGCUUUUCCGGUGUUCCUCGACUUUUCCGGCGACUCCGGCAUCGUUUAGGUCGUCUGAGCUCUUCUGGGUUCGUUUUCCGUCUUGCCUGCACCUGUAGACGUGUCAACCUCGACUAUAGCUGGAUGUUCGAAGCUGCUGGGUUGGUGUACUCUGGCUCCUCCGUUUGUUCAUCGUCGAAAUUCCGGGAAUUUAGCCUAGGACUCCAGUUACCCGAGGAACGGAAGGUUCGUGAAUUUCGGACGACUUCGGAAUCCAGGUAGGGGAUUCGGGGCCUUUCUCGGUUAGUAGUUUUCCCGUUUUAUAUAAAGUGAAGCAUGAUGCAUGUUAAAUUAUAUGGUAUGGUUAUGUUUAAAUGCAAUGCAUACUAACCAUUCCGUGAGAGAUAUCGUUGAUGUCUUGAGAGCGAAGGGUGGCUCUGACUUCCUUGGGUUCGAUCCCCAAAACCUCUGGAGGGUUAGCUACACCGGUCGGACGGUGCGCGAUCGUAAUGACGACCCGAUUCCGUGUGUGUAGCUAGGUAGCGGACGCUCUCGCUACGCUUACCUGGUUAUGAAUUGAUUUGAGGUAAGGUCGUGUAGUUGGUCUAUGGGACCGGCCAUCAGGUAUUGUUUUGGGCCCGUAUUUACUUGAAGUUCAUGCAUCGUAUUUUAUAUCGGAAAAUCAUUUAAGUUGUCGUUCUUAAAGAAAAUGCAUUUACAUAUGUUUUUAUACUGGCGCCACAAAAGUUUAUUUAAAGGUUUUCAAAUAUAGCCGGGGUGAAGCCCCUGUUGAGCAGCGAGGACGAAAGCUCACCCCUACAACAGUGUGGAUGCAGGUACUGUGCACUGGUGACGGGAUUGACGGACGGAGCGGGUUUGCAGAGUCAACUUCGGUAAAUGGUUGUAAUGGGAACAGGUUCCGAAGUUUAAUGAUUGUUUAGUGUUAUCUCAGAAGUAGUUGAUUGAUCAUUUACCAUUUAUUCUAAAUUCAAUACUCGGAGAUGUCGAUUA